AUUGAACGCUGGCGGCAGGCCUAACACAUGCAAGUCGAACGGUAGCACAGAGAGCUUGCUCUCGGGUGACGAGUGGCGGACGGGUGAGUAACGUCUGGGAAACUGCCCGAUGGAGGGGGAUAACUACUGGAAACGGUAGCUAAUACCGCAUAACGUCGCAAGACCAAAGUGGGGGACCUUCGGGCCUCACACCAUCGGAUGUGCCCAGAUGGGAUUAGCUAGUAGGUGGGGUAAUGGCUCACCUAGGCGACGAUCCCUAGCUGGUCUGAGAGGAUGACCAGCAACACUGGAACUGAGAAACGGUCCAGACUCCUACGGGAGGAAGCAGUGGGGAAUAUUGCACAAUGGGCGCAAGCCUGAUGCAGCCAUGCCGCGUGUACGAAGAAGGCCUUCGGGUUGUAAAGUACUUUCAGCGGGGAGGAAGGCGGUGAAGUUAAUAACUUCACCGAUUGACGUUACCCGCAGAAGAAGCACCGGCUAACUCCGUGCCAGCAGCCGCCGUAA
rnacentral:rRNA from 1 species